rnacentral:misc_RNA from 1 species
UCCUCUCUCAAACCCCCGGGUUUGGUGUUGGACCGCGUUGGCCUUUCACGGCCAACUGGUCUCAAAGACAAUGACGGCGUCCCAGGGACCCUCUUCGCACUGAGCUUUCCGGAGCACGCGUAGAGUUUCAAGGCCCCCGGGACCCGGUCACCUUUAUAUUUUUCUA